AUUGAACGCUGGCGGCAGGCCUAACACAUGCAAGUCGAACGAGUGGCGGACGUGUGAGCAAUGUCUGGGAAACUGCCCGAUGGAGGGGGAUAACUCCUGGAAACGGUAGCUAAUACCGCAUACCAUCGGAUGUGCCCAGAUGGGAUUAGCUAGUAGGUGGGGUAACGGCUCACCUAGGCGACGAUCCCUAGCUGGUCUGAGAGGAUGACCGGGCACACUGGAACGGAGACACGGUGCAGACAUCUACGCGAGGCAGCAGUGGGGAAUAUUGCACAAUGGGCGAAAGCGUGAUGCAGCAAAGCCGCGUGUAUGAAGAAGGCCUUCGGGUGGUAAAGUACUUUCAGCGAGGAGGCGGUACUCGAAGAAGAAGCACCGGCUAACUCCGUGCCAGCAGCCGCGGUAAUUC
rnacentral:rRNA from 1 species